AAUAUUGCAUUCCACAUCUAAGGUUCCUUCUUACAGAUAUACAUUAUGCAAUAUCCUAGCUUAGCAACCAAAAUCAUCUAGCCAACAAUCUUAACUAAUCUUAUUAUCAAUCUCCUCAACCAACCUCAUUUUUUAAUGUAAAAAGUGUAGGCUUUACCUUGGGAGUAUCGAUCACAGGAUGCAAGAAUUUCAGACAAGUAUUUGGAGCUGCAGGUAAAAGUUAGUUUCUAGUUUCUCUCUCUCUAAAUUUCUCUCUUGGGUCAAAGUCUGCUUCCAUUGCAGGAUCAGUGACCAAGAUUGGACAGGCUUCCAUGAAUCAAAACUUAAUGGUGGUUGCCACCAAGUUCUGUUCACUUCUUUUUGACCUAUAUCCAAGAGUUCUUUGCGAAAGCAAGCUUUGAAGAUUGCCGCCUCCAAGUCCUGUUUCGAACUCUUUUGUUUGAGUCUUUAUGAAUCAAGCCUUAAUGGUUUUAGCCACCAAGUCCUGUUCAGACUCAUCCUAAUUAAACAAUAGAUCUUUUUUUUUUUUUUUUUUUUUUUACUCACUAACUAAUCUAGGGUCAAAAUUUAGAGAGAGAAAAUGUGAUAAAUAAUCUAAACCAGACGUUACCUUCCAGACUUGACUGAAAAAUCCGAUCCCAUGUAUACCAAGCCCCAAAACAAGCAGUGAAGUCAGGUUAGUGUUGGAGGUUAGCUUCGGUUCUUUCUAACAAGCUAGCAAGUGUGCAUAGUUGACUGGUUGAUCCACUUUAGCAUCUAUAGUAUUAUCUGCAGUCAGUAAAUCUAGAAUGGUGCUAGAAAGUGGUUAGACAUUCAAGUAGAAAUCAUUAGUUCAUAAUCCCCUUCUUGACUCAAUAAAAUUAUUUUUGAAAAGAUUUUUGACAAAAAAACUCAAGAAAAUGGUGUUAGUAACUACCUCCCCCAGACUUAAAAUGCACCGUCUCGGUGCAAAGUGUCCAAGGGUAGGUUAAAAUCAAGUUAGAUGUUUGAGAAUGUUAGAGUAAGAAUGAAGUACCUAUUUGUACUACACAUCGAUCGAUAUAAUCCUCUCCAUAUCGAUCGAUGUUACUCGCCCAGAAUCGAUCAAUGUAAUCCUCUCCAUAUCGAUCGAUGGCGAAGCACAGACAUUUUCGCAUGUGCUUGGAGUCAAACUCGAAGUUCCUUGCCUAAUGUUAGCUCUGUUAGACAAUCAAGCAUAAGAAAUAAUAAGCAUCCUCAAACAUAAAAUAUAAGUUUAAAAACAUAAAUCCUACAAAUUCGGAAAAUAAAUAAACAAGUUCAUAAUAAGAAGAGAAGAGAUAGAGAUGGGAGGACUAAUCGGUGUCCUCAUUAGUCGCCUCAUCGUCAUCUGGGGAUGGGUCCCUGCGUGCUGCUGGUGCUGGUGCCUGCGCUCCUGUGGCUCUCCUGCUCCGACAAGACACUCU
rnacentral:lncRNA from 1 species